rnacentral:rRNA from 1 species
UAUGGAAAAGCAAAUGUAGGCAUGAGUAACGAUAAUGCGGGAGAGUAACCCGCACACCGCAAGACCAAGGUUUCCUGAUCAACGCUAAUCGGAUCAGGGUUAGUCGGGUCCUAAGGGUAAGCCGAACGGCGAUCUCGAUGGAUAAUCGGUUAAUAUUCCGAUACUAACAUAUACCUCGAUGGAGAGACGAAGGAACGUAAGUGCCGCCACCUGACGGAAUAGGUGGUUAAAGGGCGUAGGUAUAGGGGCAGAUUAAGAGUUAGUCCUUGCUGAAACCUGACAGUACAGAGAGCCUACGGGCAAUUUGAUAGAGCACCCAAGUCGACUUCCGAGAAAAUCUUCUAAGUUAUAGUAUAUGUUACCCGUACCGUAAACCGACACAGGUGGUCGAGGAGAGUAUCCUAAGGUGCUCGAGUGAAUCACGGUUAAGGAACUAGGCAAAUUAACCCCGUAACUUCGGGAAAAGGGGUCCCUAUGAAAGUAGGGCGCAGCGAAGAGGUCCAGGCGACUGUUUAUCAAAAACACAGGGCUCUGCAAAUUCGAAAGAAGACGUAUAGGGCCUGACACCUGCCCGGUGCUGGAAGGUUAAGAGGGGAUGUCAUCGCAAGAGAAGCAUUGAAUCGAAGCCCCAGUAAACGGCGGCCGUAACUAUAACGGUCCUAAGGUAGCGAAAUUCCUUGUCGGGUAAGUUCCGACCUGCACGAAUGGUGUAACGAUCUGGACACUGUCUCAACCGUGAGCUCGGUGAAAUUGUAGUCCCGGUGAUGAUGCCGGGUACCCGCAACGGGACGAAAAGACCCCGUGAACCUUUACUAUAGCUUAACGCUGAAUUUGGGUACACAAUGUGUAGGAUAGGCCGGAGACAUUGAAGCGGGUACGCCAGUAUUCGUGGAGUCAACGUUGAAAUACGGCCCUUUGUGUAUUUGAGUUCUAACCCUGCGAAGGGGACACCGUUUGGUGGGUAGUUUGACUGGGGUGGUCGCCUCCAAAAGCGUAACGGAGGCUUCCCAAGGUACCCUCAGCACGAAUGGUAACCGUGCGCGGAGUGCAAUAGCAUAAGGGUGCUUGACUGUGAGACAUACAAGUCGACCAGGUACGAAAGUAGGGUAUAGUGAUCCGGUGGUUCUGCGUGGACUGGCCAUCGCUCAAAGGAUAAAAGGUACUCCGGGGAUAACAGGCUGAUCGCCGCCAAGAGCUCAUAUCGACGCGGCGGUUUGGCACCUCGAUGUCGGCUCGUCACAUCCUGGGGCUGGAGAAGGUCCCAAG